rnacentral:rRNA from 1 species
GAUGAACGCUGGCGGCGUGCCUAAUACAUGCAAGUCGAACGGGGAGUAGCAAUACUCUUAGUGGCGAACGGGUGAGUAACGCGUUGGUACCUGCCCCGAAGCGGGGGAUAACGGACCGAAAGGUCCGCUAAUACCCCAUGUGCUCGGUAACGAGUAAAGGUGAAAACCACUUUGGGAGGGGCCUGCGUCCCAUCAGCUAGUUGGUAAGGUAACGGCUUACCAAGGCGAUGACGGGUAGGGGACCUGAGAGGGUGGCCCCCCACAAUGGAACUGAAACACGGUCCAUACACCUACGGGUGGCAGCAGUAGGGAAUAUUGGUAAUGGGCGCAAGCCUGAACCAGCAACUCCGCGUGUGCGAUGACGGCCUUCGGGUUGUAAAGCACUUUUGACUGGGACGAGGAAGGACGGUACCGGUCGAAUCAGCCUCGGCUAACUACGUG